rnacentral:rRNA from 1 species
GACGAACGCUGGCGGCGUGCUUAACACAUGCAAGUCGAACGGAAAGGCCCUGCUUUUGUGGGGUGCUCGAGUGGCGAACGGGUGAGUAACACGUGAGUAACCUGCCCUUGACUUUGGGAUAACUUCAGGAAACUGGGGCUAAUACCGGAUAGGAGCUCCUGCUGCAUGGUGGGGGUUGGAAAGUUUCGGCGGUUGGGGAUGGACUCGCGGCUUAUCAGCUUGUUGGUGGGGUAGUGGCUUACCAAGGCUUUGACGGGUAGCCGGCCUGAGAGGGUGACCGGCCACAUUGGGCCUGAGAUACGGCCCAGUCUCCUACGGGAGGCAGCAGUGGGGAAUAUUGCACAAUGGGCGGAAGCCUGAUGCAGCAACGCCGCGUGCGGGAUGACGGCCUUCGGGUUGUAAACCGCUUUCGCCUGUGACGAAGCGUGAGUGACGGUAAUGGGUAAAGAAGCACCGGCUAACUACGUG